UGGCUUUGGGGCCGAUGCUUUAAAUGCCUGGAUGUGGGGCACCAAAAAGCUUCUUGCUCCAGUGAGAUUCGCUGCCAUAAGUGCUGGAUCUCGGGGCAUCUCGCCCGUGACUGCUCAUUCUUCCCUAGCUCGGCGCAGCUCUCCUCCCACACACAUCCCAGAUCCAAUCGGGACUCCUCUUCCAGGGCCUUGCUCGCUACGGUGGGAGGCCGGAGGCCAGCGGUCUCUCCGGAGGCCUUGGUCCAGUCUCUCGCCAGAAUCUGCGGCGUUGAAAGGAGGCAUGUUCGGGUCGAGGUCACAAACCCGGCGGACUUCUUCAUCACCUUCGCCUCCAAUGCGGACUGUGACAACGUCUUCUCGUUCUCCGGCAAGCUACGCUGCGCGGGUGCUCCUAUCUCGUUCCAGAGGUGGCAUAGGUGUGCCCAGGCCUCCAGUGGAAAGCUGGAUUUCUUCUGCAAGCUGGGGAUUGAGGGGAUGCCGGCUAGCGCCUGGGAGUGUGGGGCGAUUGGCCAGCUGAUCAACAAUCUGAAUGGCCAACUGGUGGAGAUUCUGCCGCCGGACGAUCGUUGCCAACUCGAGGUCACCGCCUGGAUGAGGAACCCCUCCGGCAUCCCCAAGAUCUAUGACAUGGAGAUCCCGGAACCGGUUGGCCAGCUAGACUCGUUCGACGAGGAGUUCCAAAUAUCACCGCCGCAUCCAGCGCCGCCAACGGAGAGGCCAACGCUGAUUCAUCCCCUCACCAUCCAUGUCUUGGAUGUGGUGGAGCGUACUGUCCCCUACCUCCAGUACAGGCCCGAUUUCGUGCCGGAAGACGACGAAGAUCUCACAAGGAGGCAUGAUUACUCCAGGAGCUGCUUCAGGGGCAGAAUAGAUGGCAUCGGCCGUGGAGGUCCCAACUGGGGCGGUGGUCGCCGCGUCAAUGGUGUGAUCCCGCCGGCGGGCGGCCAGGCGCUGUCCUGCCAUCCUCAGAGCUCUGGUUCCCAACACUCACCCGGGGAAGUCUCGGGCGUCAAGAUCGGAGGUAGGGCCAGUGGGGCGACUCUUCGCUCAGCUGCGACGGUGGUUGGCUCGAGGACGGCCGUCUCUACACCAAUUCUGCAGCACUCGACUGCACCCACGGCGGCGGGCUCGGGAGCUCUGGUCUCCACUCCAAUUUUAGAUUGA
rnacentral:rRNA from 1 species